UAAUACGGAGGGUGCAAGCGUUAAUCGGAAUUACUGGGCGUAAAGCGCACGCAGGCGGUUUGUUAAGUCAGAUGUGAAAUCCCCGGGCUCAACCUGGGAACUGCAUUUGAAACUGGCAAGCUAGAGUCUCGUAGAGGGGGGUUAGAAUUCCAGGUGUAGCGGUGAAAUGCGUAGAGAUCUGGAGGAAUACCGGUGGCGAAGGCGGCCCCCUGGACGAAGACUGACGCUCAGGUGCGAAAGCGUGGGGAGCAAACAGGAUUAGAUACCCUGGUAGUCCACGCUGUAAACGAUGUCGAUUUGGAGGUUGUGCCCUUGAGGCGUGGCUUCCGGAGCUAACGCGUUAAAUCGACCGCUGGGGAGUACGGCCGCAAGGUUA
rnacentral:rRNA from 1 species